AUGACUCGGGCAUCAACUCUUGAUUUUCGGCGGAAGACGCAGGGUCAGAACAACUGGUCUGGGCCGUCGCGCCCAGUAAAUGCCAUCAAAAAUAAAUUCCCUACCUACAAGAAUGCAGAUCUGCUUGAUCGGCGUCAGCGUCUUUCAGUCCGCGAGCUCGCAAUGAAAUUUGAGAAGGGCCUCAGUACUGCCACAUUAUUAUCUAAUGAGGUUAAAUGUAAACAAGUGGCUUUAUUGGAGCGAGACAUCCUUCCGAAGAAUCUAAAGAGUGUAUUGGAGUCACUGAGAGGUCAAGUAGCUGGCAAAUAUAAGGAUGAAAUUGAGGAAUCGGUAUCUAUGGUGGAUAUUUUAGCAGUUCAGCUGUCCAAAACAGAAAAUGAGUUGCUUCAGCAGAAAACCGAGGUCACGAGAAUAGCGACUUCACUAAAACUGGCUUCUGAAGAUGCUAGGAGAAUUGUUGACGAAGAACGAACUAAUGCAUGCAUGGAGAUUGAAAAUGCUAGAGCUGUUGUACAAAGAGUUCAAAAAGUACUUAAAGAGAAAGAGAACAGUUCACAAAGAAUUAGAAAGCAGGUAAAUUGUAUAUAA
rnacentral:rRNA from 1 species